rnacentral:lncRNA from 1 species
GUACUAUGCUAUUAUCUCCCAUGAAGAUAUUUGAUGUUGAAAUCUCUUCAUAAGUGUCAAAUGAACACUUGUAUGGAGUCAUGUGCUUGGUGGCACCAGAAUCAAUGAUCCACUUGGAUAUGGUAGCCAUGGAAGUGCUUUCACUUGCCAUGAAUCCAUAAUCAUCACCUCCAUAUUCAUCACAAGCAUUGUUUGCACUUUCUC